UAACUACUCCCUCCGUUCGGAAUUACUUGUCGUGAAAAUGGAUGUAUCUAAAUGUAUUUUAGUUCUAGAUACAUCCAUUUCCGUGACAAGUAAUUCCGAAGGGAGGGAGUAGCUA
rfam:Triticum aestivum genome assembly, contig: Triticum_aestivum_CS42_TGACv1_scaffold_030960_1BL